CCCUGUGCCCCACGAGCAGGUGUGAGAGGCACUCCCUGGCACACAGGCAGGGAGCUGUGUGCGGGCUGUGGACCACAGAGGAGGCACAGGUUUCCCUUUGCAGGACUGAAGGACCACCUGGUUGUCAUCGUGUGCUACCAGAGAAGACCCCCAGUGCUCUCCAGAAAGCCUCUCUGCUGUCUGCUCUGCUGAGGCCAUUUCUAAUAAAGCCAAGUACAGAAAAGCAGAUUCAGCUUCCUCCAGAUGCACGGAGACAAGUCACUGUGCAUCUGGAGGUUUUAUUUCUGACUGUUCAGUAAAGAUGAGUGCUGGGACCGAGCAACUCCUGUGCAGUGGAUCCAUGCCCAGGCAACUGCCUGGGACCAAGCUGCAGGUUCCUCGGGAAGUAGAAGUUUUGCCAGUUCUCUGCAUCCUCCUCUGCCUCUGCCCCGGUGAGCCCUUCCUGCUGACACUUCAGGAUCCAGAGUGCAGCUCCAUCCACCAGGUUCUUCCACUGGCAGCAGACCAGGCGACACACCAGCACCAGCUCCACUGCAGGAAUUCCAGAGGCCCGGCGUGCUGAUGGAGCACCGCCGCUCCCCUCGUUAGCGAGCAUCCCCUGCGCUCGGGAGAGGGGAGGAGGUACCUUCCCUUUCCCACUGCGGUUCGCAGCAUCCUCCCUGGGACCGGUCUCUUCCCA